rnacentral:rRNA from 1 species
CAAGUCGAGCGGCAGCGCGGGGGCAACCCUGGCGGCGAGCGGCGGACGGGUGAGUAAUACAUCGGAACGUGUCCUUUCGUGGGGGAUAACCAGUCGAAAGACUGGCUAAUACCGCAUGAGAUCUCACGAUGAAAGCGGGGGACCGCAAGGCCUCGCGCGAUUGGAGCGGCCGAUGUCGGAUUAGCUAGUUGGCGGGGUAAAAGCCCACCAAGGCUACGAUCCGUAGCUGGUUUGAGAGAACGACCAGCCACACUGGGACUGAGACACGGCCCAGACUCCUACGGGAGGCAGCAGUGGGGAAUUUUGGACAAUGGGGGCAACCCUGAUCCAGCCAUGCCGCGUGUGUGAAGAAGGCCUUCGGGUUGUAAAGCACUUUCGGCCGGAACGAAAUCGCGCGGGCUAUUACCCCGCGUGGAUGACGGUACCGGAAGAAGAAGCACCGGCUAACUACGUGCCAGCAGCCGCGGUAAUACGUAGGGUGCGAGCGUUAAUCGGAAUUACUGGGCGUAAAGGGUGCGCAGGCGGUCCUGCAAGUCAGGCGUGAAAUCCCCGGGCUUAACCUGGGAAUGGCACUUGAAACUACGGGACUGGAGUAUGGCAGAGGGAGGUGGAAUUCCACGUGUAGCGGUGAAAUGCGUAGAGAUGUGGAGGAACACCGAUGGCGAAGGCAGCCUCCUGGGCCAAUACUGACGCUCAUGCACGAAAGCGUGGGGAGCAAACAGGAUUAGAUACCCUGGUAGUCCACGCCCUAAACGAUGAUGACUAGUUGUUGGAGGAGUUAAAUCCUUUAGUAACGCAGCUAACGC